rnacentral:lncRNA from 10 species
ACUGCGCUUCCGUCGCACAGAGCCUGACGAAGGCUUGGGCUCCCCGCGCGGUGACCGUCGAGGUGACCUGCACCUGGCUCCAUGGCGGAACCGGCCGGCACGGAUUAUUCCCCUCUCGGGAGAGGUCUGCAGCCGGGCCUCAGUGCUUCAGUUCGUGGCCUGGCAUUUUGUGAAGAGUGUCUUCAUCUCUGCAUCCCUAGUGCAACAGAGCAUGACAAAAAUUCAACAAAUAUUUAUUGAAGAGUCUUGAUGUCUUUUGGGAAAGGAACUCUAUGGUUACCUUUACUCUAAGUUAAAAACAACAACAACAACAACAAAAACACAAAACCCUGAGGCUCAGAAGAUAAAUAUUUGCUGAAGAUCACUGUGCUUAUUAGAUGGGUGUUACUGAUUCUUACCUCAGAGAAGAGAAUGUCAUGGAGACAAAAUGACCUGCUUAGAGUUCUGCACCCCCCAGCAUGGAGAGCAGAGCGCAAAGAUUUCUUCCGGACUCCCACAUUCCCCUUGGAAUCCAAGAACUGGUCUACUGUCACAACACUUUAGUACCCUCUUGUAAGCCUGUGGACAAAUCCUCUGAUGCCUUGAUACCUCGGUUUUCCCCCACUAUAAAUGGGAAGAUAAAUUCACUAGAAACAGUA